UCGCGUCCGAUUAGCUAGUUGGUGAGGUAAAAGCUCACCAAGGCGACGAUCGGUAGCUGGUCUGAGAGGAUGACCAGCCACAUAGGGACUGAGACACGGCCCAGACUCCUACGGGAGGCAGCAGUGGGGAAUUUUCCGCAAUGGGCGCAAGCCUGACGGAGAAAAACCGCGUGAGGGAGGAAGGCACUUGCGGUUGUAAACCACUUUUAUCAGGGAAGAACAAAGUGCCGGUACCUGAGGAAUCAGCCUCGGUUAACUCCGUGCCAGCAGCCGCGGUAUUACGGAGGAGGCAAGCGUUUUCCGGAAUUAUUGGGCGUAAAGCGUCC
rnacentral:rRNA from 1 species